rnacentral:miRNA from 1 species
UAGGGUGACAACUGUCUUGGUUUGCCUGGGACUGAGGGGUUUCUGGAAAAGCAAGACUUUCAGUGCUAAA